ACUUUCAAAGGAUAAUAGUAAUCCAAUGGUCUUAGGAACCAUAAAUCUUGGUGCAAAUCCAAGUGAAAGUA
rnacentral:tRNA from 1 species